rnacentral:tRNA from 1 species
GGGGGUGUAGCUCAGAUGGUAGAGCGCGCGCUUAGCAUGCGCGAAGUACCGGGAUCGAUACCCGGCACCUCCC